rnacentral:rRNA from 1 species
CCUACGGGAGACAGCAGUAGGGAAUCUUCCACAAUGGGCGAAAGCCUGAUGGAGCAACGCCGCGUGAGUGAAGAAGGUCUUCGGAUCGUAAAACCCUGUUGUUAGAGAAGAAAGUGCGUGAGAGUAACUGUUCACGUUUCGACGGUAUCUAACCAGAAAGCCACGGCUAACUACGUGCCAGCAGCCGCGGUAAUACGUAGGUGGCAAGCGUUAUCCGGAUUUAUUGGGCGUAAAGGGAACGCAGGCGGUCUUUUAAGUCUGAUGUGAAAGUCUUCGGCUUAACCGGAGUAGUGCAUUGGAAACUGGGAGACUUGAGUGCAGAGGAGGAGAGUGGAACUCCAGGUGUAGCGGUGAAAUGCGUAGAUAUAUGGAAGAACACCAGUGGCGAAAGCGGCUCUCUGGUCUGUAACUGACGCUGAGGUUCGAAAGUGUGGGUAGCAAACAGGAUUAGAUACCCUAGUAGUC